UACGAAGGGGGCUAGCGUUACUCGGAAUCACUGGGCGUAAAGCGCACGUAGGCGGACUCGUAGGUCAAUUGUGAAAUACCUGGGCUCAACCCGGGAACUGCAGUUGAAACCGCUUGUCUUGAAUACCUGAGAGGGUGGGGGAAUACCUGGUGGAGAAGUGAAAUUCGUAGAGAUCAGGUGGAACACCGGAGGCGAAGGCGCCUGCCUGGCAGUGUAUUGACGCUGAGGUGCGAAAGUGCGGGGAGCAAACAGG
rnacentral:rRNA from 1 species